CCCCCUUACUCCUCUUCCCUCCAGCCCGCUGCCACCUCACCCACCAGCGUUUGGCUUUUUCCACUCUUGUGGCACAUUACUGUAACGCUAUUGUGCGACAACUCCCUGCCUCUUUUCGGCUUCAAACAAAACAAAACAAAAAAAAGCAGCUGAGCUGGGAAAGCGACUGUCGGUCAGUAAGUAGGACAACGCAAAUCGUGCAAAGAGACAAGAUUCCAUUUGCGGCAGGAGACUCAAAAGUAGAGACGAAGGGACAAGGAGGAGAGGGAGCAGACGGGUUCUGCCGAGCGAGUGCCGACCCGGUAGCGUUCGGACCUCGGAGUGCGGGUCGACUUCUCCAAAGAGGGACUUGCCUUCGCUUGCUCUAACGACGGCCGGCAACUCGUCAGUGCACGCAAAUGACACUCUUGCAAAACACACAAAAAAAAAGCCGAUUUGAUGGGGUAUUUUGUAUAAAAAACUUUAAGGGUAUGUGAUAUUAAAAAAAAAAAAAGAAAAAAAAAAAUCAUUCAUCAGUGUGCACUUUCUUAGUAAACUCGUGACUGGAUUUAUUUUGUAAUGUAAUAAAUUGUGUUUUUCCCGUAAUUUAUUUUUGCUCAGCAAAUCAAGAGCUGCAAUAAUGUUUCUUAUAUUUAAUUUUUUUAGCUGGAUGUUUGUGCCAAAUUAUUAGACACGGCUCACAGUGUGAUGGAGGGUAUUUAUAAACACUGUCAAUUACAAUAAUAAACAUCAGUGAUCAACAUA